rnacentral:rRNA from 1 species
CCUACGGGACGCAGCAGUGGGGAAUAUUGCGCAAUGGGCGAAAGCCUGGCGCAGCGACGCCGCGUGAGGGAAGACGGUCUUCGGAUUGUAAACCUCUGUCUUUGGGGAAGAAAAUGACGGUACCCAAAGAGGAAGCUCCGGCUAACUACGUGCCAGCAGCCGCGGUAAUACGUAGGGAGCGAGCGUUGUCCGGAAUUACUGGGUGUAAAGGGAGCGUAGGCGGGCGAGAAAGUUGAAUGUUAAAUCUACCGGCUUAACUGGUAGCUGCGUUCAAAACUUCUUGUCUUGAGUGAAGUAGAGGCAGG